rnacentral:pre_miRNA from 14 species
UUCGGAAGAGAGCUGUCUCUUAGACAGGCAGCUUCCGAGAUCUGUCAUGGAGUUGCUCUCUUUCGAAGA